CCUAUCCAAAGCUUCAUCUCUUACCUGAGCCUCUCCUAUUCUGAGCUUUGAGCUCUGUCUGUUUGUCUGCCAUUAUAUCCUUCUAUUCUCCUCUCAUUUCCUCUUUCUCUCUUUUAUCCGUGUCCACAUUUUCUUCUCAAUAAUUUGUCCUUAGAAAAUUUUUGAAGAAUGGGGCCAUUACAGUCUUGGAUUUCGGAACAUAAGCUCGCCAGCAUAGGCGCAGUGUGGGCAUCGGCCAUAGGAGCAUCCCUAGUAGCUUAUACACGAGCUAAGUCACCCCUCAAACCAAGCCUUAGGCUUAUACAUGCUAGAAUGCAUGCUCAGGCCUUGACCCUGGCGGUGCUAUCCGGAGCUGCGGUCAUGCAUUACUACGACAAGAACCGGGCCGCCGAGGAAUCAGCGGAGGAUGCUCCUAAGAUGAAAAAUGCUUAAAUAAGAGGAGAUGAUGAUGAUGAAGAUGAAUAACUAGGACUAGCCAGUAAACAUAAGAACAGAGUGGCCAUCAAGGAUGUUUUUUCCUAAAUCGUGAAAAAAAAAAGAAACAAGGAUAUAAAUGGCAAUUUCACAUCAUAUUAUGCCAAUGUAGACUGUAAUAGCUAGUUAGAUAGCUAUCAUGUAUUUGUUUAUUCAAAGAAAUACGGAUACAUCCGAUGCAGAAUUCUGAA